rnacentral:lncRNA from 1 species
AUUCCAUUUUGACUAUCACUUCUGAACAAGAGUUGCCUCCUUACAGAUUAUGUCAAUAUGGUCCUUCCAGAAUUAUCACUAUACUUCCAACUGUCCUUGAGCAACCAAUCUUUGGUAAACCUUAGAUUGUCCUCGACAAUUGUUUAAUCCUUUUAGUCAUAUCCAGUUCUAAACCUUUUCCCUUCUUAAUGCCCCAGGCAUUUGGAAAAUUUUAGAAAGGAUGAAUAUAGCACAUGUAAUCGAUCCUAUAUCCGAAGCAUAUGGGACACGAUUCAUGAUGUCUUACAUAAAGACUAAACCAGUCUUUUGCUAUAACAUUUCCAUUUCUAUUUGCCAAGUUCUCAUAAUUCAGAUUAUGAAAAGGGAUGCCGUAAUCAUAAUCGAAUUUUAGAACGCAAAUAAUGGACCCAUAUACAGAAUUUCCUUAUGUUGAGCCAUUCCAACAUGAAAUUCAUAUAUAUAUAUCCUUGACUAAAUGAUUAAAACCUCACGAUCUAAGCUUAUAGAUUUGAGAUGAAGUAUAAUUUCCUCUCCCUUAAUUAUAGCAAAACAACUUUUUCCCAAUUGAAACUUUUGUUUUCUAUAAUUAACAUUGCUAACUUGCAACCCUUAUCAUAAUUAUCAUGCUCCCACUAACAUGAUGAUUAUUAGCAUAACAUUUAUGCUCCCACUAGCUUUGACAUGUACUCAGAAAUUGACUUUCUUACCAAAGUUCCGAUUUCUGAUACUAGAUUGCUUUGAUAAAACUUUAUCAAUAUCAUACACCUUAUCUUAGAUAGCUCACAGGUGUAUCUAAACAAUUUUAAGAACUAUUUAAAGGGAUUCCGUAAUCAUAGUCUCGAUUGUUUAGACAUUUUCCACUUCACACAAGUCCAUGCUAGUGUGCCGGUUAACCACACACGCUCCACUAACGACUUUGAGAAUGCAAAUAUCUCAAUUGCUAUCUAGCUAAAAUCUACUUAGUGAAAGUGUUUCCUCACCAUCAUUUUCAUGAAUCGGAGCGAAACCUUAUGACACUUAGAUUUUUAUGGUGUAUGAGUUCCUACCCAUAUGAAUUUGUCAAAACCAUAAUCACAAGACAAGGAUAAUGACAAAUCCAAACUCAUAUGGAUUGAACUCAAUCUUAAUUUCUUGCCACCUGGCAGCUCAAGGGCCUGCCAUUGCUUCCAAGUUGUUGUGCAACCAAUUGAGAACUCUAAGAACUCAUAUGCAAAGCCAACUUUAACUGGAAUGGGCACAGAAUAUGUCAACAUGAUAGGUUAUAAACCUCAAGUCGUGUGCUAGUGAAGAACUUCAGGUUUUAUUCUUGAUUAGUUCUUGAGACUUUUAAGACCUUUAAGACUCCCACUGUCCUCUUGACCUAUAAGACUCCCUUGUCAAACAUCCAAGAGAUAAUGCGGAUUCUAAUCAAGACAAACACUUCACAUAAUUAGCCUUAACUGGUCUUUGUUUUCUCCAAAACAUCACAACUUACAAAUUUCAAAUGUACAAGAGUAGGAAACUUUAACUCUUACAUUUGAAAAGUGUUUUAAACCUUCUUUAAGACAUGUCACUCAAAUUACAAUCUUGGAGUAUGAAUCUAAGACUUGUAUUGGAACGAAGUAUGACGCAUCUUCUUGAUUUAACCAUUUCAACAAUUCAAGAUUCCUCUUCUUAGUCAUAAGAAUGCACUAAGAUUUCCUUAGAGAACUAAUUGUGCUAUGGUUUCUUAAUCAUUAAGAUGAUCACAAAACUGAUACUAAAGUACUCUCCCAUCUUUUCAGAUUUGAGAAACUUUUAUCCUUCUGCCUAAUUUGAUUCUUCUAAUUCACUCUGCCAUACAUUGGAACCUUUUCCAAUGUGUCAGAGUUACACUAAAGCUUGUAAGUAUAAUCAUAUUUACUAAGCUUUGGUAAAACCAUGACGAAUAGUCUUAUCGAUCUUUUGUGGUGGACUUGAGCAGUGCACAAGAAUGUGUACUCGAUCCCUUAGUUCUUCACUUGACUCACACAUCCAUGUGAACAAGUAGUUAGUCUUAAUUUUUUUUCAAUGCUUGAAAGUUCUCAUUCAUCAUGCUAUACAACUUGCAUGAUUCCAAGUUCCUAUCUAACUGAAACUUGGGUGAUCAGAAUCUUUCCUUAUUUGGUAAAUUUAGACACUACCACAAAUGAAAGAAUCAAAUUCACUUUCCAAUAUUGCUAUCCGUGGAAUCUUAUAAGCAACAACUUUUCACAAAUGCCAUUGUAAGGAUACUUAAAAUAAAUAAAAUCAAAACCUUUUUCUUUUAUUUUAAAACUUUGCAGAAAACUUAUCCUUACAAUCCAUAUGAAAACCUUGUUGUUAUCUAUUCCUAAGCAAUAUAAAUAUCAUAACUCUUAAGUAGUAGCCCAAAAUUCUGCUCACCGAACCAUGCGACUGAAAUCCAUCUUUGCGAUCAGAAUCAGCAUGCACUUAAUAAAGUUAGACAAUGGACUUUACCUAAAAAAGAGCCAAACUUAUGGACUUUAACAUCCUUAGGUAAAUUUGGCAGCUUUGCAACCAAUGCCCCUUUCCUUUGGCAAUAGUUACAUAUGGACCCUUGAUAAUGGGACUAUCUCAAACUUAACCUCUCUCUUUACCAUUUGGUCAACCGAGUUGACUAUGGUCGAUCCCUUUCCAUUGGAAAGAGAGAGAUUUUCUGGAUAUCCAAUGUCAUUAUUGUCAAUGUCCACAAGUUUUAGUAAGUUGAUCUUAGCAAAUAGAUAAGAUCAUUAAGGGUCUUGUCAUAGUCUGUUUCACAGGAGUCCCAAAGGAACUCACUAUGUGACUUAGAAAGUAGUUGAGACACCAACUUUCUCAACACUUUGACACCCAACUCUCCCGGCUUGUCAAUAUGUGACUACAUCUCCAAGAUGUGAUCACACAUAGACCUUUGCUUGCCAAUAAGGCUUGAGUGACCUUAAAAUUUUUAAGAACUUGUGGGUUAGGGAGAAUAAUUAGAGUAGGUGAAAGAAGUAUGAUUUCCAUGGGAUAUCAUCUUCAUUUAGGAAAGCUUGUUUCAAGAGAUUUAGGAAGAUCAUAAAUGUCUAAACCAGACAUCUUUUUGGGAGAUAUUCAAGAUAGUUGAUUUAAAGUCCUUAAUAUGACACCCAAUAUGAAAUAUUAAGGCCAUGACCCAACAAACUAUUUUAUAACUUAGAAGAGGGAUGCCGUAAUCCAAGCUAUAAAAUAUUCGAAGGUAGGUGAAUGACGAUUCACCAAUUUCCACCAAGAUAAACGAAAUGUAUUAUUAGGUUUUAAUUGGUUUUUGAAACUCCUAGAUCUUUGAGAUUCAUUGAACUUUUCAAUGGCAUGUUUCAAUCUCGAGUGUGCCCUUCAGGUUUUGUGACUGGGAUGCCGAGGAUCACAAAACAAGGUGUGAAGUAACCAUGCAAAUUACUUGGUACCCUUAAGUGUUUACCCCUCAAUCGAUGUGCCGGUUAACCACACACGCUCCAUCGAUACUAUGAUAAACAUUAAGUUACCCUUUGCCUACCUUGUUAAAUACGAGUUAGUGUGCCGGUUAACCACACACGCUCCACUAACCGACUUAAACAAAGUGCAAAGUGUAAUUUCAUGGAUUAGCACCUUAUUCACAUUUUCCUAAGUAACUAAGAUUGGGUAUUUAUAAAAGGUUUAGUUACUUAGUAUUUAUCAUUAAUACUUUUAAUGAAGGGAGAAUUAUAGUCCUUGUCCUACCCGUUCGGCUAACGACCCUCCACCGGUCAAGGAAGCGGUGGGUGAGAGUGGACACCCAUUAAACUGCCAUUUUAUAGGCAGUAACCUUAUACCCCCCUUAUAGACCGGCUUCGUGAAUGAGGCCUACUAACGGUAAGACUGACUUUACUCUUAUACAUAUAUAUAAAUAUUAUUAACUUAUAAUAUUAUAAAGUAUAAGGGUUGAAUUUUAACUUUUAAAAUUCUAAGGGCUAACUUGGAAUUAAAGUAUUCAUGGGGAAAACUUUACAAAUUCCAAAACUUGAGGGCAAGUUUUGAAACUAUUCAAAACUCUUGGAUUUUCAUAAGGGAGGUGAUAUUGCCACGUAAUUUUUUUAUGCUUCCACUGAAAAAAAAUAGAGAUUUACAAUUAUACCCCUGUUCACUUAAAAAAGAGCAACCUUAUCUUUGUUUCAAAUAAGGCACAUACGCCCAUCAUCCGAUGCCAAUUUUGGUGUUCUAUAGCUAUUAUAAAGAAGUAUAAACCAGAAUCAUUGUAGGCAUGUUCCAUGGAUAUGGUAUAUGGAUUUAAAGGGUAACAAAUUAGUAAUGGAAAACAAAAAAUGGAUAGCUACAUUGGCCAGCAUACCGGCAUUUCAUCCCGUCGAGGUUACAAUCAAUCUGCUCUCGACACCGUCUCCGUGUUCAAGAAAAUUGGUGCCAAUAUGGGUGUUUUAUCCGGUCUGCUCAUGGCAUUAUUAAUAACAAAAUUAGAGCACAUCGUUCAUCAUCUCGCCUCUUUUUGUUCAGGUCUUCUGGUGGUUUACUUGGCCAGAUCUACUCAAAUUUUUAUUGGUUACUUCCUUUUGUGGUUUUCCAUUACGAUUUCAUGACAUACCCAAAAAAUAAAUUGAAGAAGUUGAAGGAGAAAAACAUGAAUAGAAUCAAGAACAUUGAACAAUACCAUUUGGGUGAUUGAGGUAAGAGAUUAAUCUAGCAGGAGAGCAAUUUUAUCUCCAAAGACUUGAACCCAUUUUAGAUAUGAAUUUGUACUAUCUAUGCUUGCUUGACUUAUAGUUUGUCUCGGAUAAUGAGGUGAUUGCAAUUGAGGAUAGAGAGAGAAACCAAUAAUCAAAUUAGGUUUAAGAUCCACCUCCGUAUGUAGAUCUUGAUAAUUGUGAGAAACCAAAUUGUAAUUCAACACAUCAUUAACAUCUCUGGGAUUUUCAAUAUCAUUAAGGAAACUCUGAACACAGCUAGGAGCCGACUGAAACAUGGGCUCACAUCGUUGGAUAAAGCCCUCUCACUCCCUGCUAUGUUUCCCUCAUUCCUUGCUAUGUUUUUGUACACGCAAAAAAUAAAAAACAAACCCAGCUGUUGGGUUUAUAUCACACAAAGAGAAGAGAAGAAAAGAAGGUUUUUUUGGGCAAUUUAUGUGAUAUCAACACCUGUCGUUCUUCUGAUGGUGUUCACCGCUUCAAGUUUAACUCAAAGCUCAAAAUAAGAAACCCCACCACCAUCACCCACCAUGGCUCCAUUGAUUAAAGCUUCUAAUGAGCGUACUGCACUCGUUUGAAUUGAAUAUGUUGCAAGCCACGUGCACCAUCAGCUUCCGGCUACUAGAUGUACCGAUGCUAGCGGCUGAAAAAGAAUCGAUCGAACCAGCACCAAAUGAGGAGGAGUAAUUGUAUGUUUGUUGUGCGUGGUUUGGAGUUUUCACUUUUUAGAUGUGUAGGUUUUUUGAUAGAAAGAUUACUAAGCAGGGGCAUAAUUGUCAAUCUAUACAGAUUUUCAGUGGAGGAAUCAAUAAUUACCAUGGCAAUAUCAGCUCCCUUUUCAUAACUUAUGAGUUUAAUUAAAGUUUUAAAAACUUUAAUGAAGUGACUCUUGAACAUCCAUAACUUGAGGACAAGUUAUGGAGUCAUAAAACAAUUUAAUGAGGAAAAAGACUCUUCAUUUUGUAACCUAUGGCAACUUUUAUGAGUUUUAAGAUUCAUAAAUGUGACUUAUAAGUUACAAAAACACAUUCUAUGAACUUCUUUUAGAUUAAUUUGGAUUAGAACCAACUAUCACAUAAUUUUAUUCAUUAAUCUAAAUUCACUCAUAAAACAAGGUAACACAAAAAACUUUUGGUGAUCAAUCCUUUAAAACAUUAACACCAAAUUUUGUAACUCCAUAAAAACUUUGAAUCAAUUUUUUUAAAACCUUUUCAUAUCGAUAACUUAUGGUGGUUUCAAAAAAUAUAACCCUUUAGAUCAAACUUUUAAAACUAAUAAAACAAUCAUAUCAUUUUAUCCUUUAUUAAAUUUGACCUAAUUCAACUCAUAAAGCAAAUUAUUCAAAUUUUACAAAUAAUUAGUUUUUCACAAGAACAAGUAAUUAUCUUAAAAUUUGACAAACUUCAUGUUUUUUUUUCCUUUUUUAUCAACUUUGAAAAUAAAAUAUUUGCAUCAAUAUAACAGAAAACAACCCGUGGCUCUAAUACCACUGUUGGGUUUUGAGCAUUCUAACACUCCUAAGUGUACAUGCAACCCUAAAUACCUUGGAUCUAUGUUUUCUCUAUUAUACAUGCAAAUAUGAACUUCCAAGGUAUUAUCCUAAUCUAGCAUACAAAACAAUGAAUAUAACAAGAUAGAAUACAUACCUCUUUGAUGUAGAAAGUCUUCAUGAAGCUUGAGUGCCUAGUGCCCCAAGUGUGACACCUCAAAUGGUUCACACAACACCAAAUACACUUGGAAUAACUUGAGAGAAAUUUGAACACUCCUUGAAAUCGUCUAGCCCUCACACUCACACAUAGUGCACGAUUUCUUGAGCCAUGGGAUUCUUUUAUAUGGUGGCUAUUAGGGUUACACCAUGUAACUCAUGACUUUACCCAUUCCUUAUGCUCCAUGGAUUUCAACCUCCAUGGAGUAUCCAUGGGUCACCCAAUGGACUUAGUCCAACAUAAGGAAUCUUGGAUCACAAGCCCACAUAUAUAAGAAUGAAUGAUUUACACAAUCAACCCAUAUAUUUAAUUAGUCUCCUUUUGAUCACUUAACUAAUUCCAAAUUAAUUCUUGAUCAAUACAAAUUAAAUAACCUUAUUAAUAUAUUAGAACUUAUAAUAUAUUAACAAACCUUAAGUGUUAUUUCUCUCAUUUUAGUCUAUCCAAAAGAAUGAUGCCAUGCAACCCAAAUGGACCAUGCCGGGUCGAUUCAAGUCUUACCAAUUAUAGUUAUGGACUUAGAUAUUAAUCCAACAGACUUUUGGUGACAAUAGUGGAAAAGCCAUUACAGGUGUUAGAAAUUUUGAGUGCAGGACGAUUGAGCUGAAGGAUGUUUAUGUAGAAGGACUCAAAGGCAACUUCAUCUCCAUCAGUAACCUUAGUGAUGCUAGAUAGAAAGUUCUUUUCAACCGUCAUGAGGGAAAAGUGUUUGAUUCUGAAAACAAAAAUCGUGCUUUCUGCUCUUAGGGAGAAUGAUAUUUAAAUGGUGUGAUUUGUUGAUUUUGACGCUGAUACUUUAUUUUUGAUUUAUGCUUUGGUAUUUUUAAAACAUUGAACAUAUGUUGAUAUAAUUUUAAUUUAUAUUUUGGUUUGUUUGCAUCUAACUUUUAUUUAUUUAUUACCAAAGAAGUAUAUAUGUAACAACGUAAUUUUUCAAAACAAUUUUUCAUUUCUUUAAAACAUAAUUUCAUUCAAAACAAACCAUAAAAAUCAAAUGUAACAUAGUCAUAAUACAAAACAUGUCAAAUCCCAACAUCAACUAUAUCCAAAUCCGCUUGCGGGUGUGUGUACGAUUUAUGUCGGCACCUUCCCACGGUCCUCGCUAGUACCUGAAACAAAUAACACAACAACAGUAAGCAUAAAUGCUUAGCGAGUUCCCCAAUAUACCAAUUACACACAUACGCCCUUCCAAGCCAUAACCUUCCGGUCCAUGUGUCUCAGGGGACUUCCGUCCCAACCCGGUAAACCUUCCGGUCCCACCCAUGUCGACCUUCCGGUCCAUAACUCUAUGACCUUCCGGUCUACAUCAUAAUGCCUUCCGGCCCAUAACAUAAUGCCUUCCGGCCCAUAUCAAGCAUAGCAUACAUAACGCGUACAAGACAGGCAACUAAUAUCAUGCAAUGCAUAUAUCUUAAAGCAUACCAGACCAUCCGGUCACACAUAGGUACCCUUCGAGGUACAGUGAGUGAGAAGACUCACCUCGUAUGAUGUCUAGUGUCUCACGUGCUCGAUAUCUCUGAAUCUCGCAACAAUGACCUAGCCUCGCCUAAUCACAUUAAGUAAUUAUUCGAAAUCAAUAACGGCUCUCAAGGCUAUACUAUAUUCCUUUCUAAAAUUCCACAUAAGGGUAAAACACCAUUUUACCCCUCCCUGACCCAAAAAUCCACAUGUUGACUAAAACCCUAAAAGUCAACAAAAGUCAACAGCAAGCAGUACACGGGGCGUACUAGAUCCUGUACAAAGGGCGUACCCUUGCAUUCCAGAAACAGGGUACGCAACUCCCUACACGGCGUGUACUGGGAUUACGCCCAGCGUGAUGGUCAGUUUCUUUGUCCAACACAUUCAGGUCUUAAUCGGUUAAGACUUGCAUCCAAACUUCAGAUCUGACUCCUCUAAUAUGACUUAAUCCAUAAAGUUGAAACCUUUAAGCCUUUUCAUGGUUGUAAAGGUCAGUUUAUGCUCAAAACACCUUUCCUCUUUCCAUAACGAGACUAUAACUCAUCCAUGACACAAGAUCCACAUCCAAGACUAGAUUUUUAUGACUCCUCAACACAUAUUACACUAGAAAAGGUCAGAUCCAAGCUUAUGGAGACUCUUUGCUCAUAAAGUCUCCAACUUUGAACCAAAAACCCUAAAAAUGGUCCAACAAGCAGAACUUAUGAAGAACAAGGAAAGCUUUGAGCUUUCAACUUCUAGCUCCAUCGAUGGCUCCUUCUUCUCCUUCUUCACCUUGAAAGGAUAACUUCAAGCUCAAAAACACACACACAAGGUAAAGCACGAAUCUCAGCUCUCCAAGGACUCACUUAAGGGUGUAUGGUGGCUAGGGCAAAGGACUACAUGUUCCUUUUAUAGUGCAAGGCCAGGAAUUAGGGAUUUGCAUCUGGGCCGGUUACGCUCGGCGUAACCUUGGGUACGCCCAGCGUACCCGGAUAAACCUGCGUACAAAAUAAGUGCGCGAGUACGUGCGGCGUACACCCCAGUACGCCCAGCGUACUCACCAAAAUCCACCUUUCAACUUUAAGGGAGUAAUUUUCCAACUCUCCAAAAUAGAAGGGUCAUAAAGCUAACCUGGAUUUCGGGCUGUUACAGUUCUCCCCCACUAGAACCAGACUUCGCCCUCGAAGUCUCAUGCUGUGUGCAACUCCGGAUGCUGCUCUCGCAUCUCUGACUCUGGCUCCCAGGUCAGCUCGGACCCUCUCCGAUGUUGCCACUGGAGAUGAACCAGGGGCACUUCCUUGUUCCUCAGAACCUUGAUCCUCCGAUCCAAGAUUGCGAUCGGCUUCGCAGCAUAAUUCAGACUUGCAUCCACCUGGAUAUCCUCGAAUGGUACCACUGUCGACUCAUCGGCAAUACACUUCCUCAAAUGCGACACGUGGAAGGUAUCAUGAAUCUGGUCCAACUCCGCAGGUAGCUCCGAGCGAUACGCUACCUAGCCCACCCUCACGAUUAACCUAAACGGCCUAAUAUACCGGGGUUCCAGCUUGCCCCUCUUGUUAAAUUAGAUCACUCCUUUCCAAGGAGAUACCUUCAGAAGCACAUAAUCAUCGACCUGGAACUCGAGUUCGGAUCGUCGCCUAUCUGCAUAACUUUUUUGGCGACUCUGAGCGGUCAAAAACCUCUGUCUAACCUGUUGUAUCUACUCUGUUGUAUGAAGCACUAUCUCUGUACUACCUAACACAAGCUGCCCUACCUCUCCCCAGCAAAUGGGGGUACGACACCUCCUUCCAUACAACAGCUCAAAAUGUGGCAUACCAAUGAUCGAGUGUUGGCUGUUGUUAUAGGAAUACUCAGCCAAGGGCAAAUACGUGUCCCAAAUCCCACCGAAAUCCAAUACAUAUGUCCGAAGCAUGUCCUCGAGCGUCUGAAUCUUCCGCUCGCUCUACCCUUCGGCCUGUGGGUGGUAUGCGGUACUGAAAUACAGCCUCGUACCCAACUCCUCGUGAAACUUCUUCCAAAAUCUGGAAGUAAAACGCACAUCUCGGUCUAAAACAAUCGAGAUCGGAACUCCAAGCCGCGAUACCAACUCCUUCACGUACAACUCUCCCAACCACGAUCGCCCAAAUCGCGUCGACACCCUUGGCAGUCCUCGACAAUUUGGUGAUAAAAUCCAUGGAGGUCUAUUCCCACUUCCACUCGGGAAUCUCUAACGGCUGUAACUUACCAUGCAAGUGCUGGUGCUCGGCCUUAACCUUGCUACAGGUCAAGCACCUCUCUACAAACCAUGCAACAUCCCUUUUCAUACAGAGCCACCAAUAUUCCUUCUUCAGGUCCAAAUACAUCUUAGUGGCCCCCGGGGUGGAUCGAGAACUUUGAUCUAUGCGCCUCCUCCAUCAAGACGGUAGGCGUCCCGCCCACAAACGUUACCCAAACCCGACCCUGGAGGGUCAUAAGUCCUCAAGUAUUGGUAACAAACUCCGAUACCUGCCCAAUCACUCACUCUCUCUUGCGGUUUUCCGGUCUCACGGCCUCCACUUGGGCCCCUCGAAUGGUGUCCCAUACCGGAGUCAUCACUGUCAAUCUCAUGCAAAUAUCUCAAAUCGGGGCGCCCUCCGCCCUACAGCUCAGGGAAUCGGCUACCACAUAUGCCUUGCCCGGGUGGUACAGGAUCUCACAAUCAUAAUCCUUUACCACAUCCAACCAUCUCCUCUGGCGCAUAUUCAGGUUGGGCUGAUCCAUCAACUACUUCAAGCUCUUGUGGUCCGUGUAUAUCGUACACCGAACCCCAAAAAAAUAGUGACGCCAAAUCUUGAGGGCGAACACUACAGCCCCCAAUUCCAUAUCAUGAGUGGGAUACCUCGACUCAUGAAGCUUAUGCUGCCUCGAUGCAUAUGGUAUCACAUGCCCCCUCCGCAUAAGCACCGCUCCCAACCCGGAUAUCGAUGCAUCACAAUAUACCACGAAAUCCUCCAUCCCUUCAGGAAGGGCUAACACCGGGGCAUCGCAUAAUCUCUGGCGAAGUGUCUCGAACGAGGUCUGCUGCUCCGGACCCCAAUAAAAUGCAACACCCUUCUGGGUCAACUUGGUGAGUGGCACGGCGAUCUUGGAGAAAUCCUUGAUGAAUCUCCGAUAAUAGCCUGCCAAUCCUAAGAAAUUCCUGAUCUCAGUAGGUGAACUCAGCACCUCCCAACUCAUCACAACCUUAAUCUUGGCCGGAUCGACCAAUAUCCCCUGCUGGUUAACGAUAUGUCCUAGCAACUGGACCUCCCGUAACCAAAAAGCACACUUGGAGAAUUUGGCGUAAAGCCUCUCCGAUCUCAGGACUCCGAGGAUUUCCCUCAAAUGCUCCUCAUGCUACUCUUUGGAUUUCAUAUAUACCAAUAUAUCAUCGAUGAAAACAAUCACCGAUCGAUCCAACAUCGGUCAUCACACCCUGUUCAUGAGAUCCAUGAACACGGCUGGAGCAUUGGUGAGCCCAAAAGGCAUCGCCACGAAUUCGUAAUGCCGAUAACGAGUUCUGAACGCUAUCUUCUGGAUAUCUUCAUCCCGAACCCUCAUCUGAUGAUAACCCGACCUCAAAUAUAUCUUGGAGAACCAAGACGCUCCCUGCAACUGAUCGAACAAAUCGUCGAUCCUCAGUAAUGGAUAACGGUUCUUGACCGUCAGCUUGGUCAACUCCCGGUAAUCAAUACGCAUUUGGUGUGAACCAUCCUUCUUCUUGACAAAAAGGAUCGGCGCUCCCCAAGGUGAGCUACUCGGUCUAAUAAACCCCUUUCCCAACAACUCCUGAAGCUGCGAGGAUAACUCCUGCAUCUCGUAUGGCGCAAGGCGAUAGGGUGCCUUGGCAAUAUGUGCCGCCCCUGGCACCAAGUCGAUACAAAAAUCCACCUGCCUCUCGGGAGGCACACCCGACAACUCCUAGGGAAAAACGUCAGGGAACUCCCGCACAAUAGGGACCUCAUCGAUCGAACUUGGCCUCCCAGCGGCCACUCGCGUCUCCAUCAUAUAGGCCACAAACCCUCUACAGCCCUGCUGUAAACACUGUCUCUCCCUAGCAGCCAAACAAAAUGCUGACUCAGGACGGGUACCCUCACCGUACACCGUAAGUACUCCCCCACUAGGGUCUCGUAUCGUCACCAACUGACGCUCGCAAUCUAUAACAGCUCCAAACUGGCUCAACCAAUCCAUGCCCACUAUAACACACACGCCCCCCAUCGCAAUCGGGAGCAGAUCUAUCGGGAACUCCACACCGAAGAUCUUAAGGAUACAUCCUUGAAUCACAUCCGUGGCAUACACUGCUCAAUCGUUAGCUAUAGAAACUUGCAGAGGUCGACUCAUGGCCUCUCGACAAAUACUAAUAUGACGACUGAAGGCUAACGACAUAAAAGACCAACUCGCUCCCGAGUAAAAUAACACUAAGGCAGGUAUAGAAUUCACAAGAAAAGUACCUACGCAUAACAUAAUAUAAGAAUAAUAUCUCAGACUUAAAUAAAUAGAGAGAAGAAUACAUACCGCCCACAACGUCAGGUGCUGCGCGGACCUACUCCGCUGUCAACUAGAAAGCUCUCCCACGAGCCUUCGGAGCCUCGACCUUCACUGAUCGAACCUCGGUAACCAUAGCAGCAGGUGCAGAUCCCUGCGCUGACCCCUGAUGCAACUGUGGAAACUCGGCCUUCCGAUGGCCAGUCUGGUUGCAAUGAAAGCCAACCAUAAAUCCCUUAGGGCAAUCCUUAGCGAUAUGCCCCUCCUUGCCACAUUUGUAGCAAGCACCCGAUCGACAAGCUCCCUCAUGACCCUUGCCGCACAUCCCGCUAGUGCGGCCCUUCUGGCCUCCAGUCCUCGAAUCAGNUCGGCCUCCUCCCUGGCCUGAGUCUCCAACUCGAUCUCCCGCUUCCGGGCAUUUGCCUGAAGCUCAGCAAAUGUACGGUACGUCGAGUUUGACACGAACUCUCGAAUGUCCCUCCUCAAAAUGCCCAAAUACCGGCUCAUCCGUGCCUGCUUAGUAGACACUUGCUCAUGGCAGAACAGCGCCCUCUCAUGAAACUUCCGGGUAACCAUACUAACCGAAUCAUUACCCUGCUUGAGGGUCAAGAACUCCUGAACCAAACGUUCCCUCUCCAUCGGGGGAGCAUACUCAUCCGUGAACAUGCGUUGAACCUCUCCCAGGUCACCUCAGAAAUCUCUGCCAGAGUGAAUCUCGCCGUCACGAACUUCCACCAGUCUAUUGCUCCCAAGCGAAGCUGGUUCAAAGCGAACCGCACCCUCAAGUGUUCCGGACAAGAACACGUAUAAAAGCAUCCCUCAAUGUUACAGAUCCACCUCAUCGCCGCAAUCGGGUCCUGCGGGUUAUCGAACUCCGGCGGCUUCGUGUUGCUGAACUCCUGAAACAACAACGAGUCACCUCCCUGAGGUCUGGCAGCAGCAAUAGUUGCAGUAGCUGUAGCCUCAGUCACCGUUGCAUACCGCUCAUUUAAGGUCUCAAUCAGUGUGGUCUUGAUGUCCCCAAACAUCUCUGGAAUCUCAGCCAGGAUGGCAGCAGCCACCUCCUCAUGAAUCAAUCGACGGAUCUCCUCGUCACUGACCCUACUUCUCUCAGGUGUGUCUCGUGUCCCAACCAUGAUGCCUCUGAAAUAUAACAUAAAAAUAUUAGAGACUCGAUCGAGCAUACUCGCACUUGAUAACGCAACCCUACACAUCCUCCAAUACCCAAAGGAUUCUUACUUGGGUUGCUCACUGAUCCGGUGUCUUCAGUAGUACGGGUCCUAUACUGCUGAACUCACCAUAUCAGCAUUCACACCAUGUCCUCCUCCUUGGAUCCCGGAUCGCAAGUACUCUAUUCUCGCUAUGCAUUGGCUACCUACACGCUCUCAAGGCAUCUCAUAGCAGUAGGAUUCUCCUAGGCUAACGCAUCACAAAUCAGGCCACUCUAGUCCUAAUAUGAAUACCUAGCCUACUCUAGCAUGCAUAACAUAACAUAGCAUAUCUCAUAACACAUAAUGUAAGGGUAUUCUGGGGAUUCACCGUUCGGGCGCUGGCUGACCAUACACACUGCUCUGCUCUGUUUGUUUCAAAACUCCUUGCUCUUUUAGAAAAUUUAGUUUUUUUAUUGUUGAAAAUUUCUCAAAUCCUCAGUUUGAGUUCAGAUAUGCCCAAAGGUGCAUCCGAGUCCCUCAAACCAAGGCUCUGAUACCAACUUGUAACAACGUAAUUUUUCAAAAAAAAAUUUCAUUUCUUUAAAACAUAAUUUCAUUCAAAACAAACCAUAAAAAAUCCAAUGUAAAGUAGUCAUAAUACAAAACAUGUCAAAUCCCAAGAUCAACUAAAUCCAAAUCUGCCUGCACGUGUGUGUACGAGUCAUGCCGGCGCCUUCCCACGGUCCUCGCUAGUACCUGACACACAUAACACAACAACUAUAAGCAUAAAUCCUUAGCGAGUUCCCCAAUAUACCACUUACACACAUACGCCCUUCCAGACCAUGACCUUCCAGUCCAUGUGUCUCAAGGGACUUCCGUCCCAACCCGAUAAACAUUCCGGUCCUACCCGUGUCGACCUUCCGGUCCAUAACUCGCUGACAUUCCGGUCUACAUCAUAAUGCCUUCCGACCCAUAUCAAGCAUAGCAUACAUAACGCAUAUAAAAUAGGCAACUAGUAUCAUAUAAUGCAUAUAUCUAAUAGCAUACCAGACCUUCCGGUCACACAUAGCUACCCUUCCAGGUACAGUAUAGUGAGAAGGCUCACCUUAUAUGAUGUCUAGUGUAUCACAUGCUCGAUAUCUCUGAAUCUUGCAACAACGACCUAGCCUCGCCUAAUCACAUCAAUUAAUUAUUCCAAAUCAAUAACGACUCUCAAGGCUAUACUAUAUUCCUUUCUAAAAUUCCACAGAAAGGUAAAAGACAAUUUUACCCCUCCCUGACCCAAAAAUCCACAUGUUGACUAAAACCCUAAAAGUCAACAGCAAGCAGUACGUAGGGCGUACUAGAUCCUGUACGCGGGGCGUACCCUUGCAUUCCAAAAAUGGGGUACGCAACCCCCUACGCGGUGCGUACUAGGAUUACGCCCAGCGUAAUGCCCAGUUUCUUUAUCCAACACAUUCAGGUCUUAAUCGGUUAAGGCUUGCAUCCAAACUUCAGAUCUGACUUCUCUAAUAUGACCUAAUCCAUAAAGUUGAAACCUUUAAGCCUUUGCAUGGCUGUAAAGGUCACUUUGUGCUCAAAACACCUUUCCUCUUUCCAUAAUGAGACUAUAACUCGUGCGUGACACAAGAUCCACGUUCAAGACUAGAUUUUUAUGACUCCUCAACACAUAUUACACUAGAAAAGGUCAGAUCUAAGCUUAUGGAGACUCUUUGCAAAUAAAGUCUCCAACUUUGAACCAAAAACCCUAAAAAUGGUCCAACAAGCAAUACUAAUGAAGAACAAGGAAACCUUUGAGCUUUUUACCUCAUAAAGGAUCUCCAACCACUGUAGAACUCAGAUCUACACUUGUUCUUCAACUUCAAGCUCCAACAAUGGCUCCUUCUUCACCUUCUUCAGCUUGAAAUGAUAACUUCAAGCUCAAAAACACACACACAAGCUAAAGCACGAAUCUCAGUUCUCCAAGGAAUCACUCAAGGGUGUAUGGUGGCUAGGGGAAAGGACUACAUGUUCCUUUUAUAGUGCAAGGCCAGGAAUUAAGGUUUUGCAUCUGGGCCGGUUACGCCCGGCGUAGCCUUGGGUACGCCCAGCGUACCCGGACGAAGCCGCGUACAAAAUAAGUGUGUGAGUGUAGCACCUGGAUCCUAGUACGUAAAAUUUAUCUAUGUAUUUUACAUUUUUAGCCUUGGACUCGGCGAGGUGCAGGCCCGACUCGCCGAGUGGAGACGGGUUUGGGAGCACGUUUAAGUUGGCGACUCGGCGAGUCCACAUUCUGGACUCGGCGAGUCCCCGCUGUCUGAUGAAACCAUAAAUUCCAAGGGUUUGCACCCUAUUUAAACCAACCUUAUGCGCCCCAACCUCGACCCCUUCACCCUCAUAGCUCCCAACAUCGUUCAAACUCUUAUUCCUUGUGAGAUUGGAGUGCUUUGGUGUGUAUCUUGAAGAUUUUGAGAAGAAAGAUGAGUAGAUCAAGAAGAGAAGAAGGAGGCCAGGAAUCCUUGUGUUAUCUCAGUGAUUUCCUUGAGGUAUAACUCAGUUUCCCUCUGUUUCCAUUCUUAUAGUCCCUUAUAGCUCCGUUCGAGUCCUUCUUGAGCCAUUUCCAAGCUUGGGUAUGAUUUAAGAUCUGUAAUAUGUUGAUUAACCUUUAGAUCUAGGCAUGAUUGAGCUCCAGGAGCUCGGAUCUACUGCCUUAAUUGAGCCAUAUUGCAUGAGAGCCCUAGAUCUACUCUUUUAGUGCAUUUUGAGCCCUAAAACCUUCAUUGGGGUUUAUUUACACGUAAAGUUGGAAACUUUACGUGUUAACCAGGCCCUAGAAACCCAGAUCGAUGUAUGGCAUGAGCUGGAUUCAAGCAAAAUCAAAUAUUUAGUGUUUGCAUGCGAUAGACUCGGCGAGUCGAGUCGCGAGUCCCCGAGNAAGCUCUCCCACGAGCCUUCGGAGCCUCGACCUUCACUGAUCGAACCUCGGUAACCAUAGCAGCAGGUGCAGAUCCCUGCGCUGACCCCUGAUGCAACUGUGGAAACUCGGCCUUCCGAUGGCCAGUCUGGUUGCAAUGAAAGCCAACCAUAAAUCCCUUAGGGCAAUCCUUAGCGAUAUGCCCCUCCUUGCCACAUUUGUAGCAAGCACCCGAUCGACAAGCUCCCUCAUGACCCUUGCCGCACAUCCCGCUAGUGCGGCCCUUCUGGCCUCCAGUCCUCGAAUCAGUAGACUUGGCCCGCUUGGCUGCCGGCUGAGACUGAGCCAGCCGCCGAUCCAUCCUCUGAGACUCGGCCUCCUCCCUGGCCUGAGUCUCCAACUCGAUCUCCCGCUUCCGGGCAUUUGCCUGAAGCUCAGCAAAUGUACGGUACGUCGAGUUUGACACGAACUCUCGAAUGUCCCUCCUCAAAAUGCCCAAAUACCGGCUCAUCCGUGCCUGCUUAGUAGACACUUGCUCAUGGCAGAACAGCGCCCUCUCAUGAAACUUCCGGGUAACCAUACUAACCGAAUCAUUACCCUGCUUGAGGGUCAAGAACUCCUGAACCAAACGUUCCCUCUCCAUCGGGGGAGCAUACUCAUCCGUGAACAUGCGUUGAACCUCUCCCAGGUCACCUCAGAAAUCUCUGCCAGAGUGAAUCUCGCCGUCACGAACUUCCACCAGUCUAUUGCUCCCAAGCGAAGCUGGUUCAAAGCGAACCGCACCCUCAAGUGUUCCGGACAAGAACACGUAUAAAAGCAUCCCUCAAUGUUACAGAUCCACCUCAUCGCCGCAAUCGGGUCCUGCGGGUUAUCGAACUCCGGCGGCUUCGUGUUGCUGAACUCCUGAAACAACAACGAGUCACCUCCCUGAGGUCUGGCAGCAGCAAUAGUUGCAGUAGCUGUAGCCUCAGUCACCGUUGCAUACCGCUCAUUUAAGGUCUCAAUCAGUGUGGUCUUGAUGUCCCCAAACAUCUCUGGAAUCUCAGCCAGGAUGGCAGCAGCCACCUCCUCAUGAAUCAAUCGACGGAUCUCCUCGUCACUGACCCUACUUCUCUCAGGUGUGUCUCGUGUCCCAACCAUGAUGCCUCUGAAAUAUAACAUAAAAAUAUUAGAGACUCGAUCGAGCAUACUCGCACUUGAUAACGCAACCCUACACAUCCUCCAAUACCCAAAGGAUUCUUACUUGGGUUGCUCACUGAUCCGGUGUCUUCAGUAGUACGGGUCCUAUACUGCUGAACUCACCAUAUCAGCAUUCACACCAUGUCCUCCUCCUUGGAUCCCGGAUCGCAAGUACUCUAUUCUCGCUAUGCAUUGGCUACCUACACGCUCUCAAGGCAUCUCAUAGCAGUAGGAUUCUCCUAGGCUAACGCAUCACAAAUCAGGCCACUCUAGUCCUAAUAUGAAUACCUAGCCUACUCUAGCAUGCAUAACAUAACAUAGCAUAUCUCAUAACACAUAAUGUAAGGGUAUUCUGGGGAUUCACCGUUCGGGCGCUGGCUGACCAUACACACUGCUCUGCUCUGUUUGUUUCAAAACUCCUUGCUCUUUUAGAAAAUUUAGUUUUUUUAUUGUUGAAAAUUUCUCAAAUCCUCAGUUUGAGUUCAGAUAUGCCCAAAGGUGCAUCCGAGUCCCUCAAACCAAGGCUCUGAUACCAACUUGUAACAACGUAAUUUUUCAAAAAAAAAUUUCAUUUCUUUAAAACAUAAUUUCAUUCAAAACAAACCAUAAAAAAUCCAAUGUAAAGUAGUCAUAAUACAAAACAUGUCAAAUCCCAAGAUCAACUAAAUCCAAAUCUGCCUGCACGUGUGUGUACGAGUCAUGCCGGCGCCUUCCCACGGUCCUCGCUAGUACCUGACACACAUAACACAACAACUAUAAGCAUAAAUCCUUAGCGAGUUCCCCAAUAUACCACUUACACACAUACGCCCUUCCAGACCAUGACCUUCCAGUCCAUGUGUCUCAAGGGACUUCCGUCCCAACCCGAUAAACAUUCCGGUCCUACCCGUGUCGACCUUCCGGUCCAUAACUCGCUGACAUUCCGGUCUACAUCAUAAUGCCUUCCGACCCAUAUCAAGCAUAGCAUACAUAACGCAUAUAAAAUAGGCAACUAGUAUCAUAUAAUGCAUAUAUCUAAUAGCAUACCAGACCUUCCGGUCACACAUAGCUACCCUUCCAGGUACAGUAUAGUGAGAAGGCUCACCUUAUAUGAUGUCUAGUGUAUCACAUGCUCGAUAUCUCUGAAUCUUGCAACAACGACCUAGCCUCGCCUAAUCACAUCAAUUAAUUAUUCCAAAUCAAUAACGACUCUCAAGGCUAUACUAUAUUCCUUUCUAAAAUUCCACAGAAAGGUAAAAGACAAUUUUACCCCUCCCUGACCCAAAAAUCCACAUGUUGACUAAAACCCUAAAAGUCAACAGCAAGCAGUACGUAGGGCGUACUAGAUCCUGUACGCGGGGCGUACCCUUGCAUUCCAAAAAUGGGGUACGCAACCCCCUACGCGGUGCGUACUAGGAUUACGCCCAGCGUAAUGCCCAGUUUCUUUAUCCAACACAUUCAGGUCUUAAUCGGUUAAGGCUUGCAUCCAAACUUCAGAUCUGACUUCUCUAAUAUGACCUAAUCCAUAAAGUUGAAACCUUUAAGCCUUUGCAUGGCUGUAAAGGUCACUUUGUGCUCAAAACACCUUUCCUCUUUCCAUAAUGAGACUAUAACUCGUGCGUGACACAAGAUCCACGUUCAAGACUAGAUUUUUAUGACUCCUCAACACAUAUUACACUAGAAAAGGUCAGAUCUAAGCUUAUGGAGACUCUUUGCAAAUAAAGUCUCCAACUUUGAACCAAAAACCCUAAAAAUGGUCCAACAAGCAAUACUAAUGAAGAACAAGGAAACCUUUGAGCUUUUUACCUCAUAAAGGAUCUCCAACCACUGUAGAACUCAGAUCUACACUUGUUCUUCAACUUCAAGCUCCAACAAUGGCUCCUUCUUCACCUUCUUCAGCUUGAAAUGAUAACUUCAAGCUCAAAAACACACACACAAGCUAAAGCACGAAUCUCAGUUCUCCAAGGAAUCACUCAAGGGUGUAUGGUGGCUAGGGGAAAGGACUACAUGUUCCUUUUAUAGUGCAAGGCCAGGAAUUAAGGUUUUGCAUCUGGGCCGGUUACGCCCGGCGUAGCCUUGGGUACGCCCAGCGUACCCGGACGAAGCCGCGUACAAAAUAAGUGUGUGAGUGUAGCACCUGGAUCCUAGUACGUAAAAUUUAUCUAUGUAUUUUACAUUUUUAGCCUUGGACUCGGCGAGGUGCAGGCCCGACUCGCCGAGUGGAGACGGGUUUGGGAGCACGUUUAAGUUGGCGACUCGGCGAGUCCACAUUCUGGACUCGGCGAGUCCCCGCUGUCUGAUGAAACCAUAAAUUCCAAGGGUUUGCACCCUAUUUAAACCAACCUUAUGCGCCCCAACCUCGACCCCUUCACCCUCAUAGCUCCCAACAUCGUUCAAACUCUUAUUCCUUGUGAGAUUGGAGUGCUUUGGUGUGUAUCUUGAAGAUUUUGAGAAGAAAGAUGAGUAGAUCAAGAAGAGAAGAAGGAGGCCAGGAAUCCUUGUGUUAUCUCAGUGAUUUCCUUGAGGUAUAACUCAGUUUCCCUCUGUUUCCAUUCUUAUAGUCCCUUAUAGCUCCGUUCGAGUCCUUCUUGAGCCAUUUCCAAGCUUGGGUAUGAUUUAAGAUCUGUAAUAUGUUGAUUAACCUUUAGAUCUAGGCAUGAUUGAGCUCCAGGAGCUCGGAUCUACUGCCUUAAUUGAGCCAUAUUGCAUGAGAGCCCUAGAUCUACUCUUUUAGUGCAUUUUGAGCCCUAAAACCUUCAUUGGGGUUUAUUUACACGUAAAGUUGGAAACUUUACGUGUUAACCAGGCCCUAGAAACCCAGAUCGAUGUAUGGCAUGAGCUGGAUUCAAGCAAAAUCAAAUAUUUAGUGUUUGCAUGCGAUAGACUCGGCGAGUCGAGUCGCGAGUCCCCGAGUUUUCCCUUUUUGUGUUUUCGGAGUGGAGUAGUGAGUCAUGGGGUGUGACUCAGUGAGUCGGAAGCCAGACUCACCCAUGAAGGAACACGGCGAGUCAAUGCCCUGACUCGGCGAGUCCAAGGCAAUCUUCUUGCCUCAAGAAUAGACUCGGCGAGUUGUUCAUACAACUCGGCGAGUCUCAGCAUAGCAUGUUCUUCGGAUGAAGAUGAACUCGGCGAGUUGUUCAUACAACUCGGCGAGUAGGAUGAAAGACUAUUGGACCUUGGAUUAAAAGGAAAACUCGUCGAGUCAACGCCUAACUCGACGAGUAGAGGCGGGGUUAUGGUCAAACAAAGGGAUAGGGACUCGGCGAGUUGGCAGGCCAACUCGGCGAGUCGGGUCAACUGGAUGUUGACUUUGACUUUGACUCUUGGCUCGUUCAGGGGUAAAUGGUCAUUUUACCCUGAGGUCGAUUAACAGUAUUUGAUUGGGUGUUUUGUGGGGAUUUUAGCCGGAGGACUUCCGGGGCAGCAGCAGUAAAAGACAGUCAAUUCCCAUGCAGAUCAGCAGCUACUUUGAGGUGAGUUACCUUCCAGUAGCGGUGGGUCUACGACCACAAUCUCGGCCCACCAGUAGGAGUUGUACGCUAGGUGAUUGUCUUUGUGAUAUCAUCUUGCUUUGCUACUACCUGAUAUGUUUCUAUGCUGGCAUGAUAUGUAUAUGUGAUAGUAGUAGAGUUAGGCUGUUAGGAACGAAGGGUAGGUCAGACACCCAGAUAUGUCUGACAGUAUGUGAUGAUAUGCUUAUAUGCUGGCAUGAUAUGCUAUAUAUGAUAGUGGUAGUAGGAGGGGAUUAGUCCCCAAGCCCGGUCGUUAGGACCGCAGGGUAGAUCGGAUGCCCCAGAUAUCUCUGAUAAUAUGCUAUGUUAUGAUAUAUGUGAUAGUAGCAGUAGGGGGUGAAAUAGUCCCCGAGGAUCGGUUUUUAGGACCGAUGGGUAGUCAGGACCCCAGAAUGGCUUGACAUGGGUAGUCAACACCCCAGAUCGGCUUGACACGGGAAGGUCGGCACACCAGAAUGGCCGUAACGGGUAGGUCGGGCACCCCAGAAUUGCCCGGAAGUGUGUAUAAUAUGUGAUUGUAUGGUAUGUGGUAAGAUGGGGGAACUCACUAAGCUUCGUGCUUACAGUUUUCAGUUUUGGUCUCUGGUACGUCUUCUUCGAAGGGGAAGGAGCCGGCACGGUAGCGGUACAUCACACACACGCUUUGUAUUCCGCACUAUGGGAUCUUCUUGGGGAUUUGUACUCUGACAGUAUUAUGUUCUAUAAAAUGGUUUCCAGACAAGCAACAUCUUAUAUUGAAUGAUAUGAUCUGUGAAUGCUUUAUUUCUAAUGUUUUGCAAAGUGUAUGUUUUAAAAAUGAAAUUUUUGGCUUGUAUUUUUGGGAUGUUACAAGUUGGUAUCAGAGCCCUGGUUUGAGGGAUUCGGACACGUCUUCGGGGGUGUCUGAACUCAAAUCAAAGGACUUAAAGGAUUUUAAAUAAGAAAAUAUUUUCUGAAAAGCUAAGUAAAGAGUUUUAAGAAGGAACAAAGUGUGUGAUGUGCGCGACUAGCCGAGCUCAAGUAAGCAUUCCCCAAAGUACCCAUACCAGCUUAUGUUAUGUUUAUCAGUUUCAGUAGAACAACAUGCUAGAAUAGGACUAAGGAUCUAGGAGUGAUGACUUAUGUGCCUCCUUUAUGUGCUUCAGUGUACGAAAAUUGCAUGCUAGAAUUGAGUAGACGGCAGUAGGAUAGCAUGUUAGGGUUAUGCCUGAUAGUAUAAGCUUAGCAUUGUAUGCUAGUGCAACUUUCUCUAUGAGGACGGAUUUGCCUGAGAUUGUUUCCUUGUGUCUGAAUGCUGCUUGCUUUGUGCUUCGUGGGACUCUGAGUGAUGGGAUUAGACAUUAGAUGAAUACGUCACGUCACAUGUGAUCAGGGUUGAAUAAUCUUAGAGUGCUGGAUUUGGUCUUACUGCGCGACUUUUGCCUGAGUCUAACCGUGUAGAGCCGAGUCUGUUACUCGAAGGAUUAUCUGAGCCUCACCACAUGUGAUGGUAUUCAGGUAAUGACUAAUUGGCAUUACAAGGAGGCCUUCAGCAGCUGAGUACCGGGUAGGGUGGAGUUAGAUAUUUUCCUGGGGCAAGCCUAGGGUGACUCGUUGGGAGCCUUGGCUGUCGAGGCUAUGACUUGGUCGGACUUCACGACCAGGUUCACGGUAGAGUUUGCACCGACUAUCGAGCUUCAGCUGCUAGCCAUGGAGUUCUUAAAUAUGAGACAGACGAUGGAGACUAUGGCGGAGAUCACCGCCAUGUUCCGGGAGAGGGCGUUGAUGGUGCCCCAGUAUGCGGGUGAUGAGGAUAUGAGGAGGACCCGCUAUCAUGACAUGCUACGAGCUGAUAUUCGGGAGCAUGUCAAUUUUUCAGCUUGCCCUACCCUGGACUCUACGAUUUCUAGGGAAAAGGGAGAGGGAGAUAGAUCUGGAGCACUUCCGGAAGAGGAAGACAGAAGAGGGUCGGGAAGGAGACGCUUCGGGGAAGAAGCCCAAGGGACCAGAUGGUAGGAUUAAAGGCCAGUUAGGACCGAGCCGCUGCAAGAAAUGCGGCAGGCCACAUGAUGGGGCAUGUAGGCUGGGAUCGUUGGGCUGCUAUAAGUGCGGAAAGACAGGGAACUUCUUUUGGGUUUUGAGCAUUCUAACACUCCUAAGUGUACAUGCAACCCUAAAUACCUAGGAUCUAUGUUUUCUCUAUUAUACAUGUAAAAAUGAACUUCCAAGGUAUUACCCUAAUCUAGCAUACAAAACAAUGAAUAUAACAAGAUAUAAUACAUACCUCUUUGAUGUAGAAAGUCUUCAUGAAGCUUGAGUGCCUAGUGCCCCAAGUGUGACACCUCAAAUGGUUCACACAACACCAAAUACACUUGGAAUAACUUGAGAGAAACUUGAACACUCCUUGAAAUCGUCUAGCCCUCACACUCACACAUAGUGCACGAUUUCUUGAGCCAUGGGAUUCUUUUAUAUGGUGGCUAUUAGGGUUACACCAUGUAACUCAUGACUUUACCCAUUCCUUAUGCUCCAUGGAUUUUAACCUCCAUGGAGCAUCCAUGGGUCACCCCAUGGACUUAGUCCAACAUAAGGAAUCUUGGAUCACAAGCCCACAUAUAUAAGAAUGAAUGAUUUACACAAUUAACCCAUAUAUUUAAUUAGUCUUCUUUUGAUCACUUAAUUAAUUCCAAAUUAAUUCUUGAUCAAUACUAAUUAAAUAAUCUUAUUAAUAUAUUAGAACUUAUAAUAUAUUAACAAACCUUAAGUGUUAUUUCUCUCAUUUUAGUCUAUCCAAAUGCAUGAUGCCAUGCAACCCAAAUGGACCAUGCCGGGUCGGGUCAAGUCUUACCAAUUAUAGUUAUGGACUUAGACAUUAAUCCAACAGUCUCCCACUUGGAUAAGUCUAAAACUAUUAUUGCGUAUGACUUCAGGAACCAACUGGCAAUCGUAGCUCUCAAAAGCUUCUGUCGAACUCUGACCUUGUAGAUGAACUCUGACCUUUGUCAAUGACUUGUCCAUUAGAUAAGGGAUCAUAUAUUCCUCCAUUCUAGAUAUCAUAUGGACUGAGACAUGGAUUAUAAUCAUUCUCUCUGUCCAUUUGUUGUUUCCCGAUUUCCGAUUUAUGACGACUGACUAAUUGAACAAAUCAAAUCAGUCCUGGCCCGGCCGAGCACUUCCAUUUGUCAUCAUCAAAUCAUCGAGGGGCCCACAGAUAUCGCUUUUAUCCCGAAGGUAAAAGGAAUGGAUAAACUUCGACUCAUAUGGCUUGUUCUACUACUUGUUGAAUCAUACACAAAGGCACGUUUUAUAACACUGAGUUAUCGAAUGUGUUUUCGUGCAAUCAAUGUACAACCAACUCAUAGUAACACCUCAUAUCUCUAGGUUAGAAGAAUAUAAGAUAUUAUCGUCUCAUGAUCACUCGUGAUAAAAUCCAUGAAGUGAUUCCAAUGAGCGCGGGUUGAAUCCAAUACUCAGAACUUAUGAGCACUCAUGAGUGUUGUAGCCCUUUGUCCAACACCUUAGACCUCUACAAGCCAACCCAUGACAGUCUUAAUUCAUAUCUACUUCCAACAUAUGACCGACUGUGGAUGGUUUGAAUAACUUAGUCAUUCCGGAAGAAUAACCUAGUUUAUUCGGGAAGUCAAAACAUGCAAAGUGAAACACAAUAAUAAUUGAAUCCAAUAUGGUAUCAAAACCUAUGAACAUAAAUAAAACACCUUUUAUUUAUCACCAUAUGAUUACACAUUAUUCAUUGUAUACUGUUUCAGCUAUCAACUUUAUUCUUGAAUUUAAAACAAUAGUUGUCCCAUGCUCCAAGCAUGUACACUAUGUUUUCUAAAUACUAGUCAUGCCAUACACCAAGUAUGUAUACUAUCUUUGUCUAUGAUCUUUACUUUGUGAAAUAGAUCAAUUGAACAUAACUCCAAUGAUCGUCUUUUCACAGUCCCAAAUCCUUACUGCAAAUUCAAAAAUUCCAAAUUCAUGCGAUUUUCUGAAAUCUGUUAGAUUCUAAACUUAUAUGUAUUGAUCAUAUUGUAAUGAUUAUGCACAAAGUCAUAAGGACUUAACAACAAACAUUACAAAGUAUUCCAAAGGAGAUCAACUCCUUGGAAACAUCCUUCUUGCGUUAAGUUUCCUUAAUCUUACAUAGAUUGAAAAUUCUAACUUUGAAACUUUUCCAAAUUCAUUUUGACUAUCACUUCUGAACAAGAGUUGCCUCCUUACAGAUUACGUCAAUAGGGUCCUUCUAGAAUUAUCACUAUACAUCCAACUGUGCUUGAGCACCCAAUCUUUGGUAAGCCUUAGAUUGUCCUUGACAAUUGAUUAAUCCUUUUAGUCAAAUCCAAUUUUAGACCUUUUCCCUUCUUAAUGCCCCAUGCAUUUGGAAAAUUUUAGAAAGGAUGAAUAUAGCACAUGUAAUCGAUCCUAUAUCCGAAGCAUAUGGGACACGAUUCAUGAUGUCUCACAUCAAGACUAAACCAGUCUUUUGCUAUAACAUUUCCAUUUCUAUUUGCCAAGUUCUCAUAAUUCAGAUUAUGAAAAGGGAUGUCGUAAUCAUAAUCGAAUUUUAGAACGCAAAUAAUGGACCCAUAUACAGAAUUUCCUUAUGUUGAGCCAUUCCAACAUGAAAUUCAUAUAUAUAUCCUUGACUAAAUGAUUAAAACCUCACGAUCUAAGCUUAUAGAUUUGAGAUGAAGCAUAAUUUCCUCUCCCUUAAUUAUAGCAAAACAACUUUUUCCCAAUUGAAACUUUUGUUUUCUAUAAUUAACAUUGCUAACUUGUAAUACUUAUCAUAAUUAUCAUGCUCCCACUAACAUGAUGAUUAUUAGCAUGACACUUUUUCUCCAACUAGCUUUGACAUGUACUUAGAAAUCAGCUGACUUUCUUAUGAAAGUUCAGAUUUCUGAUACUAGAUUGUUUUGAUAAAACUUUAACAAAAUCAUACACAUUCCCUUAGAUAGCUCAUAGGUGUGUCUAAAAUAUUAUGAAGAGGGAUGCCGUAAUCAUAAUGGUUAGACCUUUUUGCCACUUCUCACAAGUCCAGGUUAGUGUGCCGGUUAACCACACACGCUCCACUAACGACUUUGAGAAUGCAAAUAUCACAAUUGCUAUCUAGAUAAAAUCUACUUAGUGAAAGUGUUUCCUCACCAUCAUUUUCAUGAAUCGGAGAGAAACCUUAUGACACUUAGAUUUAUAUGGUGUAUGAGUUCCUACCCAUAUGAAUUUGUCAAACCAUAAUCACAAGACAAAGAUAAUGACAAAUCCAAAACCAUAUGGAUUGAACUCAAUCUUAACUUCUUGCCACCUGGCAGCUCAAGGGCCUGCCAUUGCUUCCAAGUUGUUAUGCAACAAACUGAGAACUCUAAGAACUCAUAUGCAAAGCCAACUUUAACUGGAAUGGGCACAGAUAUGUCAACACGAUAGGUUAUAAACCUCAAGUCGUGUGCUAGUGAAGAACUUCAGGUUUUAUUCUUGAUUAUUUCUUGAGACUUUCAAGACCUUUAAGACUCCCACUGUCCUCUUGACAUAUAAGACUCCCUUGUCAAACAUCCAAGAGAUAGUGCGGAUUCUAAUCAAGAAAAACACUUUACCCAAUUGGCCUAAGUUGGUCUUUGUUUUAUCCAAAACAUCACAACUUACCAAUUUCAAAUGUACAAGAGUAGAAAACUUUUACUCUUACAUUUGACAAGUGUUUUAAACCUUCUUUAAGACAUGUCACUCAAAUGACAAUCUUGGAGUAUGACUCUAAGACUUGUAUUGGAACGAAGUAUGACUCAUCUUCUUGAUUUAACCAUUUCAACAAUUCAAGUUCCUCUUCUUAGUCAUAAGAAUGCACUAAGAUUUCCUUAGAGAACUAAUUUUGAUAUGGUUUCUUAAUCAUUAAGAUGAUCACAAAACUGAUACUAAAGUACUCUCCCAUCUUUUCAGAUUUGAGAAACUUUUAUCCUUCUGCCUAAUUUGAUUCUUCUUAUUCGCCCUGCCAUACAUUGGAACCUUUUCCAAUGUCUCAGAGUUACACUUAAGCUUGUAAGUAUAAUCAUAUUUACUGAGCUUUAGUAAACUAUGACGAAUAGUCUUAUCAAUCUUUUGUGGUGGACUUAAUCAGUGCACAAGAAUGUGUACUCGAUCCCUUAGUCCUUUACUUGACUCACACAUCCAUGUGGCCGAGUAAUUAGUCUUAAUUUUCCAAAACUUGAAAGUUCUCAUUCAUCAUGCUAUACAACUUGCAUGAUUCCAAGUUCCGGUCCAAUUGAAACUUGGGUGAUGAGAAUCUUUCCUUAUUUGGUAAAUCUAGACAUUACCACAAAUGAAAGAAUCAAUUUCAUAUUUCCACUCUUGCUCUUAAUGGAAUCAUAUAAGCAACAAUUUUUCCUCAAAAGCCAUUGUAAGGAUAUUUUAAAAUAAAUAAAAUCAAAAAAUUUUUCUUUUAUUUUAAAACUUUGCGGAAAAACUUAUCCUUACAAUCCAUAUGAAAACUUGUUGUUAUCUAUUCCUAAGCAAUAUCUCAUAACUCCUAAGAAGUUGCUCAAGAAUCCGAUCUUCAAACUAUGCGAUAGAAAUCCAUCUACGCCAUCAGAUUCAGCAUAUUCUUUCUUUAAGUUUCUUCACUUUUCUUUGAUUCUUAAAACAUCACCAUGUGACCCAGUCACAUCAUGUAUCAGGAAUCUCAGAAUAGAAACUUAACAGAGUUAGAUAGUGGACUUUACCUGAAGUAGAGUCAAACUUAUUGACUUUAACAUCCUUAGGUAAAUUUGGCAGCUUCGCAACCAAUGCCCCUUCCUUUGGCAAUAUAAACAUAUGGACCCUUUGAUAAUGGUACACGGGACUAUCACAGACUUAGCUUUUCUCUUUACCAUUUGGUCAACCGAGUUGACUAUGGCCGAUCCCUUUCCAUUGGGAAGAGAAUGCUUUACUGGAUAUCCAAUGUCAUCAUUGUCAAUGUCCAUAAAGUUUUAGGAAGUUGAUCUUAGCAAAUAGAUAAGAUCAUUAAGGGUCUUGUCAUAGUCUGUUUCAUAGGUGUCCCAAAGGAACUCACUAUGUGACUUAGAAAGUGAUUGAACCACCAACUUUCUCAAGACUUUGACACCCAACUCUCCCGGCUUGUCAAUAUGUGACUACAUCUCCAAGAUGUGAUCACACCUAGACCUUGCCUUGCCAAUAGGGCUUGAGUGACCUUAAACUUUUCAAGAACUUGUGGGUUAGGGAGAAUAAUUGGAGGAGGUGAAAGAAGUAUGAUUUCCAAAGGACAUCAUCUUCAUUUAGGAAACCUUGUUUCACUAGAUUUGGGAAGAUCAUAGGUGUCUAUUACAGACAUCUUUUGGGAGAUAUUCAAGAUAGUUGAUUUAAAGUCCUUAAUAUGACACCCAAUAUGAAAUAUUAAGGCUAGGACCCAACAAACUAUUUUAUAACUUAGAAGAGGUAUGCCGUAAUCCAAGCUAUAAAAUAUUUGAAGGUAGGUGAAUGACGAUUCACCAAUUUCCACCAAGAUAAACGAAAUGUAUUAUUAGGUUUUAAUUGGUUUUGAAACUCCUAGAUCUUUGAGAUUCAUUGAACUGUUCAAAGGCAUGUUUCAAUCUCGAGUGUGCCCUUCAGGUUUUGUGACUGGGAUGCCGAGGAUCACAAAACAAGGUGUGAAGUAACCAUGCAAAUCACUUGGUACCCUUAAUAAAUUACCCCUCAAUCGAUGUGCCGGUUAACCACACACGCUCCAUCGAUACUAUGAUAAAUAUUAAGUCACCCUUUACCUACCUUGUUAAGUCCAAGUUAGUGUGCCGGUUAACCACACACGCUCCACUAACGACUUAGACAAAGUGUAAAGUGUAAUUUCAUGGAUUAGCACCUUAUUCACAUUUUUCCUAAGUAACUAAGAUUGGGUAUUAUUAAGAGUUUAGUUACUUAGUAUUAUCAUUAAUACUUUUAAUGAAGGGAGAAUUCUAGUCCUGUCAAACCCGUUCGGCUAACGACCCUCCACCAGUCAAGCAAGCGGUGGGUGAGAGUGGACACCCAUUAAGUUGCCAUUUUAUAGGCAACAACCUUAUACCCACCUUAUAGACCGGCUUCGUGAAUGAGGCGUACUAGCGGUAAGACUGACUUUACUCUUAUACAUAUAUAUAUUAUUAACUUAUAAUAUUAUAAAGUAUAAGGGUUGAAUUUUAACUUUUAAAAUUCUAAGGGCUAACUUGGAAUUAAAGUAUUCAUAAGUGAAAACUUUACAAAUUCCAAAACUUGAGGGCAAGUUUUGAAACUAUUCAAAACUAAUUAAUUCCAUAACUUAUGUGUUUAAAGUAGUUUUAAUCCAAAAACUCUUCAAGUUCCAUAACUUGAGGACAAGUUAUGGAAGACUUUAAACUAAUAAAAGAAUUAACUUUUCUUUAUUUUAUAACUUAUGGAAUUAAUUAAGGUUACACUUUUUUUUUUUUUAUUUUAUUUUAUUAAAUGAAGAGACUCUUGGUCCUCCAUAACUUGAGGACAAGUUAUGGAGUCAUAAAACCAUUUAAUUAGAACUAGACUCUUCAUUUUUGUAACCUUUGCCAAUUUUUAUGAGUUUUAUGAUUCUUAAAUGUGACUUUUCAUAUAACUUGAGGACAAGUUACAAAAACACAUUUUAGAAUCAAUUCUUAGAUUAAUUUGGAUUAAAACCAACUAUCACAUAAUUUUAUUCAUUAAUCUAAAUUCACUCAUAAAACAAGGUAACACAAAAAACUUUUGGUGAUCCAUAACUUAUUCUUAAGUUAUGGAAUCCUUUAAAACAUUAACACCAAAUUUUGUAACUCCAAAAAAACUUUGAAUCAAUUUUUUUUUUAAAACCUUUUCAUAUCCAUAACUUAUGGAGGUUUCAAAAAAUAAAACUCUUUAGAUCAAACUUUUAAAACUAAUAAAAUAAUCAUAUUAUUUUAUCUUUUAUUAAAUUUGACCUAAUUCAACUCAUAAAGCAAAUUAUUCAAAUUUUACAAAUAAUUAGUUUUUCACAAGAACAAGUAAUUAUCUUAAAAUUUGACAAACUUCAUGUUUUUUUUUUUUUUUUUUUUCAACUUUGAAAAUAAAAUAUUUGCAUCAAUAUAACAGAAAACAACCCGUGGCUCUGAUACCACUGUUGGGUUUUGAGCAUUCUAACACUUCCUAAGUGUACAUGCAACCCUAAAUACCUUGGAUCUAUGUUUUCUCUAUUAUACAUGCAAAUAAGAACUUCCAAGGUAUUAUCCUAAUCUAGCAUACAAAACAAUAACUAUAGCAAGAUAGAAUACAUACCUCUUUGGUGUAGAAAGUCUUCAUGAAGCUUGAGUGCCUAGUGCCCCAAGUGUGACACCUCAAAUGGAAUCACAAUCAUCAAAACACUUAGAAUGACUUGAGAGAAUUCUACACUCAUCAAAAUCGGCUAGCCCUUUCUUCACUAUCUCUAGUGGCCGAUUUUUCCUCAAUAAUAAGAUGCUUAUAUAGUUACACAAUUAGGGUAAACUCUUAAUUGUCAUGGCUUUCCAUUUCCUUGGAUCCAUGGGUACAAAUACACCAUGGAGCAUCCAUGGACCAUCCUAUGGGUUUUAGCCCAACUUGAUUAUCCAUGGAGCAUUAGCCCACUAUACAAGUAUGGAUGAUUUACACAAUCAACCCAUAUAUUUAAUUAGUCUUCUUUUGAUCACUUAAUUAAUCCUAGAUUAAUUCUUGAUCAAUACUAAUUAAAUAAUCUUAUUAUUCUUAUUAUUAAUAUACUAGAACUUAUAAUAUAUUAAUAACCAUAAGUGUCUUAUUUCUCUCAUUAUAGUCUAUCCAAGUGCAUGAUGGUAUGCAACCCAAAUGGACCAUGCCGGGUCGGGUCAAGUCUUACCAAUUAUAGUUAUGGACUUAGACAUUAAUCCAACAGUCUCCCACUUGGAUAAGUCUAAAACUAUUAUUGCGUAUGACUUCAGGAACCAACUGGCAAUCGUAGCUCUCAAAAGCUUCUGUCGAACUCUGACCUUGUAGAUGAACUCUGACCUUUGUCAAUGACUUGUCCAUUAGAUAAGGGAUCAUAUAUUCCUCCAUUCUAGAUAUCAUAUGGACUGAGACAUGGAUUAUAAUCAUUCUCUCUGUCCAUUUGUUGUUUCCCGAUUUCCGAUUUAUGACGACUGACUAAUUGAACAAAUCAAAUCAGUCCUGGCCCGGCCGAGCACUUCCAUUUGUCAUCAUCAAAUCAUCGAGGGGCCCACAGAUAUCGCUUUUAUCCCGAAGGUAAAAGGAACGGAUAAACUUCGACUCAUAUGGCUUGUUCUACUACUUGUUGAAUCAUACACAAAGGCACGUUUUAUAGCACCGAGUUACCAAAUGCGUUUUCGUGCAAUCAAUGUACUAUCAACUCAUAGUAACAACUCAUAUCUCUAGGUUUGAAGAAUAUAAGAUAUUAUCGUCUCAUGAUCACUCGUGAUAAAAUCCAUGAAGUGAUUCCAAUGAGCGCGGGUUGAAUCCAAUACUCAGAACUUAUGAGCACUCAUGAGUGUUGUAGCCCUUUGUCCAACACCUUAGACCUCUACAAGCCAACCCAUGACAGUCUUAAUUCAUAUCUACUUCCAACAUAUGACCGACUGUGGAUGGUUUGAAUAACUUAGUCAUUCCGGAAGAAUAACCUAGUUUAUUCGGGAAGUCAAAACAUGCAAAGUGAAACACAAUAAUAAUUGAAUCCAAUAUGGUAUCAACCCUUUGAACAUAAAUAAAACACCUUUUAUUUAUCACCAUAUGAUUACACAUUAUUCAUUGUAUACUGUUUCAGCUAUCAACUUUAUUCUUGAAUUUAAAACAAUAGUUGUCCCAUGCUCCAAGCAUGUACACUAUGUUUUCUUAAACACUAGUCAUGCCACACACCAAGUAUGCAUACUAUGUUUGUCUAUGAUCUUUACUUUGUGAACUAGAUCAAUUGAACAUAACUUCAAUGAUUCUCUUUUCACACUCCCAAAUCCUUACUGCAAAUGCAAGAAUUCCAAAUUCAUGCCAUUUACUGAAAUCUGUUAGAUUCUAAACUUAUAUGCAUUGAUCCUCUUGUAAUGAUUAUGCACAAAGUCAGAAAGACUUGACAACAAUCAUUACAGAGUAUUCCAAAGGAGAUCAGCUCCUUGGAAACAUCCUUCUUGCAUUAAGUUUCCUAAUCUUAAACAGAUUGAAAAUUCUAACUUUGAAACAUUUCCAGAUUCCAUUUUGACUAUCACUUCUGAACAAGAGUUGCCUCCUUACAGAUUAUGUCAAUAUGGUCCUUCCAGAAUUAUCACUAUACUUCCAACUGUCCUUGAGCAACCAAUCUUUGGUAAACCUUAGAUUGUCCUCGACAAUUGUUUAAUCCUUUUAGUCAUAUCCAGUUCUAAACCUUUUCCCUUCUUAAUGCCCCAGGCAUUUGGAAAAUUUUAGAACGGAUGAAUAUAGCACAUGUAAUCGAUCCUAUAUCCGAAGCAUAUGGGACACGAUUCAUGAUGUCUUACAUAAAGACUAAACCAGUCUUUUGCUAUAAUAUUUCCAUUUCAAUUUGCCAAGUUCUCAUAAUUCAGAUUAUGAAAAGGGAUGCCGUAAUCAUAAUCGAAUUUUAGAACGCAAAUAAUGGACCCAUAUACAGAAUUUCCUUAUGUUGAGCCAUUCCAACAUGAAAUUCAUAUAUAUCCUUGACUAAAUGAUUAAAACCUCACGAUCUAAGCUUAUAGAUUUGAGAUGAAGUAUAAUUUCCUCUCCCUUAAUUAUAGCAAAACAACUUUUUCCCAAUUGAAACUUUUGUUUUCUAUAAUUAACAUUGCUAACUUGCAAUACUUAUCAUAAUUAUCAUGCUCCCACUAACAUGAUGAUUAUUAGCAUAACACUUAUGCUCCCACUAGCUUUGACAUGUACUCAGAAAUCAGCUGGACUUCUAGAAAUCAAUACUUCAUUGACUUUCUUACCAAAGUUCAGAUUUCUGAUGCUAGAUUGUUUUGAUAAAACUUUAUCAAAAUCAUACACCUUCCCUUAGAUAGCACACUUGUGUAUCUAAACAAUUAUGAAGAGGGAUGCCGUAAUCAUAAUGUUUAGACCUUUUUGCCACUUCUCACAAGUCCAAGUUAGUGUGCCGGUUAACCACACGCGCUCCACUAACGACUUUGAGAAUGCAAAUAUCACAAUUGCUAUCUAGCUAAAAUCUACUUAGUGAAAGUGUUUCCUCACCAUCAUUUUCAUGAAUCGGAGAGAAACCUUAUGACACUUAGAUUUAAUGGUGUAUGUGUUCUUAUCCAUGUGAAUUGUCAAAACCAUAGUCACAAGACAAGGAUAAUGACAAAUCCAAACUCAUAUGGACUGAACUCAAUCUUAAUUUCUUGCCACCUGGCAGCUCAAGGGCCUACCAUUGCUUCCAAGUUGUUGUGCAACAAAUUGAGAACUCUAAGAACUCAUAUGCAAAGCCAACUUUAACUGGAAUGGGCACAGAAUAUGUCAACACGAUAGGUUAUGAACCUCAAGUCGUGUGCUAGUGAAGAACUUCAGGUUUUAUUCUUGAUUAGUUCUUGAGACUUUCAAGACCUUUAAGACUCCCACUGUCCUCUUGACAUAUAAGACUCCCUUGU